GGAGCUAAUCCCUUAAAGCUACUCUCAGUUCGGAUUGUAGGCUGAAACUCGCCUACAUGAAGCUGGAGUUACUAGUAAUCGCAGAUCAGACUGCUGCGGUGAAUGCGUUCCCGGGUCUUGUACACACCGCCCGUCACACCACGGGAGUUGGAGACGCCCGAAGCCGAUUAUCUAACCUUUUGGAAGAAGUCGUCGAAGGUGGAAGCAAUAACUGGGGU
rnacentral:rRNA from 1 species